rnacentral:lncRNA from 1 species
AUGGAAGGUCUAUAAAUACCACCAUACCAUAACUCCAUCAUUCCACACUCAACACUACACUCCAUCUCCUCCCUCCUUCCCCAAAUCGGCAGCCAUCAACCACCACCCUACCACCAUCAUUCGACCUUGUUCCAUCCAUUCUAUUACCAUACAAGGGUGCAAGGAGACACACAACGAAGCUUGGUGCGUUCGGAAGUCGAAGGACCGCUCUCGUUUUCUUUUAUCCACCACUUUUCUACACUCGAACUCCCCUAGCCUUGUGCUAGUAGUAAGUUCCUUAGAUCUUCAUCUUGUUCAUGUUUUUAUGUAGUGAAGUUGCUUAGUCUUGAUUGCGAAUAGGAAGCAUGCUCACUUAGGACCGGACGAGGCCUUAGUGAUUUAAUAAUGAUAUUAGUCUAUGUUUGAUUUGCUUGUUUAACUUUAAAACAAUGUUUAAUAUUUAAUGAAAUGAAACUCUUCGUAUCCAUGGUUUGAAACAAUAAUUCUGUUACAACACUCCCCGGCGUUUCCGCCACGAUUUGUCAUUUUACGUGGUCGGGGUGUGACAGAAGAGUUGGUAUCAGAGCCAAU